CAAUCCGGAUCUCAGAUCAAGCAAGAUUACCCGCUGAAUUUAAGCAUAUAAUUAAGCGGAGGAAAAGAAACUAACUAGGAUUCCCUCAGUAACGGCGAGUGAAGCGGGACUAGCUCAGGAUGUGAAUCUGCGCUUUUAUGGCGCCGAAUUGUGGUCUAUAGACUUUAACAUUAUCUGCCGGGCCAAGUUCCUUGGAAAAGGACAGCUGAGAGGGUGAGACUCCCGUCCGCCUGGUAGAGUGAGUUUUUGUCAACGAGUCGAGUUGUUUGGGAUUGCAGCUCUAAUUUGGUGGUAAAUUCCAUCUAAAGCUAAAUAUUGGUGGGAGACCGAUAGCGUACAAGUACCGUGAGGGAAAGAUGCAAAGAACUUUGAAAAGAGAGUUAAAGAGUACCUGAAAUUGCUGAAACGGAAGCGAAGGAAACCAGUGUUUGUUGGUUCAUAUUUCCCUGGCCACUUGUGGUUUGGGCGCUGUGAGCUUGCGUGGGUUUGCUUUGGUUGAUCCCUUUGGAAGAGCGCAGUCAGAGUUGAUGUCUGUUGCUAGCACUGGGUUUGACUAAUGCAGACGAAAUGGUUUUCUUUACCCCGUCUUGAAACACGGACCAAGGAGUCUAACAUAUGUGCGAGUACAGGGGUGUCAAACCCCGGUGCGUAAUGAAAGUGACAGUGGUUGGAUAUUUUGCACAAUCCGCCGGCCUCAAUCCUUCGGGAGAACGGUCUGAGUGUGAGCAUACAUGUUGGGACCCGAAAGAUGGUGAACUAUGCCUGAAUAGGGUGAAGCCAGGGGAAACUCUGGUGGAGGCUCGUAGCGAUUCUGACGUGCAAAUCGUU
rnacentral:rRNA from 1 species